GCCUUCCUCUACCCAGUCCCGGUCUCUCUCUUCGCAUUCUCUGGAUGAGGAUUCUCUCUCUAUCUCUCCCCCUCCCCCCGUCCUCUCUAGGUCUCCACCCGCCCACAGUCCAACCAUCCACCCCCGCCGAGCCCCCGAGUGCUGCUGUGAUCUCUCCCCGUCCGCCCUCUCCCGUUCGUGCGGCCGGGCCGGCGGCGGCCGCGAUGGGCAGCGAGGACGUGGCCAUCGAGAUCCACCCGCGCAAGCUCUGCUUCCUCUGGAACUUGGAUCUUGUACGGGAGCAAUAGAUACAUGUCUCAACCAACAUAUGUCUAAGAAAGAAAAAAAGGAGCUGGGAGCAACAUGCCAUCAGCAGAUAGAUUGAAAGAGCAUACAUAAAACUUAAGGUCAUUAAGUAGUUCACAUGAAUGCAAAUAUGAAGUACAAUAAUGUUCUGAGAAGCAAAUAUGAUGUGCAGUAUGUUCAAGGAUUAAGUAAGGAAGCAAAAGUUGUAUCUUGCAGCACUGUAAAUAAGUGGUAUUGCAGGAAUGCAUGGUCAGUCUCUGCUGUGUAGCUACGAUAAUAAUACAGCCAACAAUUGCUAGAGUUUCUAAACUGUAGAUGUGAACUAUGUGAAGCUUUUCUGAAAUAUUGCUAAAGCUGUGCGGGGUGAUUAGGAAUUCAGGUAGAUUAGGAGGGUGAUGUUGUGGGCCUAGUUCCAGUGAGAGAAAUUAUGUACGGCACAUCCGUCUGCUUCUGUUGUAAUUGAUUGAUUACAGCUUUUAACUAGAAAAGGAAAAGUGUCCGUA